ACUCAUGCAAAUGAAUGUGACUGAAGUGGGACCGAAAUUCAGUUUUGUAAGGGAGCUGAAAGUGAACAGACGCAAAUAAAAAGCCCUGAAUUCCAAAUGAGUGGCAGAGAUCCAUGGAACAGCAAAUAUCAAUACCAGUGCCAAUACAAGACGUAUGGCAAUAAUGGUGGCAAAGGCCAAGUCGGAGCCAAAGGCGGCUGCAAACCUGCCAUAGCCCCGCCUCCAAAUAGGGGCAACAACUCGAACUCUCGCGGAGCACUCUGCACUGAGACGAAGUAUCAGGUGACGGUCACCCAACGUGAAUUCCACGCGUCUCCCG